GACGAACGCUGGCGGCGUGCUUAACACAUGCAAGUCGAGCGGAGCGGCGAACGGGUGAGUAACGCGUGAGUAACUGCCCCCCUCUCUGGGAUAACAGUUGGAAACGGCUGCUAAUACCGGAUAGUGGGGGAUGACUCGCGGCCUAUCAGCUUGUUGGUGGGGUAGUGGCCUACCAAGGCGACGACGGGUAGCCGGCCUGGGAGGGCGACCGGCCACAUUGGGCUACGGUAGGGCCCAAACGCGUACGGGAGGCAACAGGGGGGAGUAUGGCGCAGUGGGGGAAAGCCUGUUGCAGCGGCGCCGCGGGCGGAAAGACGGCCUUCGGGGUGGGAACCGCUUUCGGCCAUGACGCGGUAGUGGCAGAAGAAGCACCGGCUAACUACGUGCCAGCAGCCGCGGUAAUUC
rnacentral:rRNA from 1 species